rnacentral:rRNA from 1 species
UACAGAGACUGCAAGCGUUGUUCGGAUUCAUUGGGCGUAAAGGGUGCGCAGGCGGCUCGUUAAGUCGGAUGUGAAAUCUCACAGCCUAACUGUGAUAGGUCAUUCGAAACUGGCGGGCUCGAGGGCUGGAGAGGAGACUGGAAUAGUCGGUGUAGCGGUGAAAUGCGUAGAUAUCAGAAAGAACACCAGUGGCGAAGGCGGCCCUCUGGUCCAUUAUUGACGCUAAAGCACGAAAGCGUGGGGAGCAAACAGG